GACGAACGCUGGCGGCGUGCCUAACAUAUGCAAGUCGAACGGAACUGUUUUGACAGAUUUCUUCGGAAUGAAUUUGAUUUAGUUUAGUGGCGGACGGGUGAGUAACGCGUGAGUAACCUGCCUUCAAGAGGGGAAUAACAUUCUGAAAAGAAUGCUAAUACCGCAUGACAUAUCGGAACCACAUGGUUUUGAUAUCAAAGAUUUUAUCGCUUGAAGAUGGACUCGCGUCCGAUUAGUUAGUUGGUGAGGUAACGGCUCACCAAGACCGCGAUCGGUAGCCGGACUGAGAGGUUGAACGGCCACAUUGGGACUGAGACACGGCCCAGACUCCUACGGGAGGCAGCAGUGGGGGAUAUUGCGCAAUGGGGGCAACCCUGACGCAGCAACGCCGCGUGAAGGAUGAAGGUUUUCGGAUUGUAAACUUCUUUUAUUAAGGACGAAAAAUGACGGUACUUAAUGAAUAAGCUCCGGCUAACUACGUG
rnacentral:rRNA from 1 species